GGCGGGCUGGACCUCUCGGGGUUACAGCCUUGCUGAAUUAUUCACCCUUGUCUUUUGCGUACUUCUUGUUUCCUUGGUGGGUUCGCCCACCACUAGGACAAACAUAAACCUUUUGUAAUUGCAAUCAGCGUCAGUAACAAAUUAAUAAUU
rnacentral:misc_RNA from 1 species